rnacentral:rRNA from 1 species
CAAUAGCGUAUAUUAAAGUUGUUGCAGUUAAAAAGCUCGUAGUUGGAUUUCUGGUGGGAGCGAUCGGUCUGGCGCUUAGCGCGAGUACUUGCAUCGUCUCCGGCCAUCCUUGGGGAGAGUCUGUCUGGCAUUAGGUUGUCGGGCAGAGGAUCCUCAUCGUUUACUGUGAAAAAAUUAGAGUGUUCAAAGCAGGCUUAUGCCGUUGAAUAUAUUAGCAUGGAAUAAUAAGAUAGGACUUUGGUACUAUUUUGUUGGUUUGCGCACCAAAGUAAUGAUUAAUAGGGACAGUUGGGGGUAUUCGUAUUCCGUUGUCAGAGGUGAAAUUCUUGGAUUUACGAAAGACGAACUACUGCGAAAGCAUUUACCAAGGAUGUUUUCAUUAA